GACGAACGCUGGCGGCGUGCUUAACACAUGCAAGUCGAACGGAAAGGCCCUGCUUUUGUGGGGUGCUCGAGUGGCGAACGGGUGAGUAACACGUGAGUAACCUGCCCUUGACUUUGGGAUAACUUCAGGAAACUGGGGCUAAUACCGGAUAGGAGCUCCUGCUGCAUGGUGGGGGUUGGAAAGUUUCGGCGGUUGGGGAUGGACUCGCGGCUUAUCAGCUUGUUGGUGGGGUAGUGGCUUACCAAGGCUUUGACGGGUAGCCGGCCUGAGAGGGUGACCGGCCACAUUGGGACUGGGAUACGGCCCAGACUCCUACGGGAGGCAGCAGUGGGGAAUAUUGCACAAUGGGCGGAAGCCUGAUGCAGCAACGCCGCGUGCGGGAUGACGGCCUGCGGGUUGUAAACCGCUUUCGCCUGUGACGAAGCGUGAGUGACGGUAAUGGGUAAAGAAGCACCGGCUAACUACGUG
rnacentral:rRNA from 1 species